rnacentral:lncRNA from 1 species
UAAAAUCGGAAAAGGCAAGAAAGAACCGAAAUCUCGAGUUCUUUUUUUUUUAGAUUGAAGAAAUAUACAGAGUAAGAAAUAAAAUAAAAUAAAAUGUUGAAAAGACGUUUAGCAGAGAGGUGAGAUUACUAAGCAAGAUAAUUAUAUAUCUGAGGGUUGCUCUUGUCCCUCUCCAAGUACUCUCGAUCGAUCAGGCUUUCGAUCCUCUUCUUCAGAUCAGCCGGUUUUAUUGGGAAUUUCAGCUGCAAAUCGCACACAACAAAAAUAGUAAUCCCAUUACAUUGCAUAGUAUAUUACAUUUACACCAGUACUGAGAACUCUCAUCAUUAUCGCAACAAUGGUCAAAGAUUACAAGAGUAUGUCUCAAGAAAGACAUGAAGAAAGUUACCUGUUGGAAGAGCUCAGUGAUUAAGAGAGUGUGGCUUAAGACUUUUCUUGUCUUCAUAAUUCGAACAAUGGCUGCAUCAAUCUGUAAGAACAGGAUGCGAUGGGGAGAGUCAGUUAUGUCAAAUCUACUCUCGUUCUACCAAACCGUAACGUAAACGACGAAGAAGCAGAAAUUAACCUGGUAUUGUCUGUCCUGGAAUACUCUCUCUGUUGUACUCGUGUUCUCUUCUACAGUCUCUUUCAUCUGGAUUGCAUUCACCUGCACCCCCAAAAAAAUAAUAACUUGGUUUAUUAUAUAUGCGUAAAGGAGACAAGAGAAUACUUUGAGAUUCUAGAAAGCUUGAAGUGAGGCAACCAAAGGAACAAAAAAGUUUCGACUUACCUUAAUGCGAUAGAGAGGAGCUGUAAAGGUGUCAUUAAAAUCAAAUUCAUCCCCGUCUUGUACGUCUCUUCCCUUUGGAUACUGCAACAACAUUUACAUAAGCCAUAUCAAUAUGGCAAAAAAAAAACAGAGUUAAAUGUAACAGAGUCCAUAUUUUUAGCCUAACCUUAUGCAGGAUACGGACUUUUCCACAGGCAAGCGACUGUAGAGUCCUUCUCAGUUCUUUGUCCUCUAUGCCAGUGGAAUCUUUAAUGUCUUCAAAGCUAAGUUUCAUUGCAUCGUUAAAUAACAUCAAAACAACAGCCUGAGAACAUCAAAUACAACACAUCCUCUAAGCAAUGGAAUCACAACGUAACCUCUGAAGAAAAAAAGGCUUGAAAAGGGAAAAAGAGAAAUUCGAGUGACCUGAAAAAGGGAAACAGCAAGCUCCUUUUUAGCUUUGGUGAAAUCUGCCUUCAGAACACAGUGACCUAGUGAAUUUUGCCACAUUAACCUCCUGCCACUGUACUUGCUCAAAUAGAACUCUUUGAAGAUAUCCUACUAAACAAAUACUUAAAUUAGAAAGAAAGAAAAAACUUUGUAACAAAAAACCAUCACGGAUGCAUAUUGGAACUUCUUGUGAAGACCUGAUAGACAUUUAAUUCAUGAGGAAGUUUAACGUCCAUAGGGGGAUAUGUUGGCCAGUACCUGCAUCAUACACGGAAGGUUAACAAGUGUUUACAAAUAUGUCUGAGUUUGAUACAUAGUACAUACCCUGUGGUUAAAACGUGGACACUCAUCUCAAUUCCCGAUGGCAGUUUUGUUCUGGCCUGAGACGAUUGUUUGAAUGACUCAUUGAUUUCCUUUGACAAUUCAAUAUCCUGGAGAAAAAAAAUCAAGGAAACAGGGGGUAUAGGGCUCGUUAUAAAUGUUGUACAUGCACACAGAUUCCUUAAACUGGGUAUGUUGAAAGAUCAUCCAACAAACUUGAUACGGAGUAACAAAGAAUAUGAAUACUAGGAUAUAUUGUACGCAUAACCUAUGGAAAUUAAGAUGAUAAAAUAAAACUAAGGAUCUUUUUCUGUAGAAAAAUUUAGAGAGAUGGAAAAAGAAAAGAGGACCUUAAACAUCCCUUCGAGCUUGUUUGUAAACUGGCUACCACACUCAGUCUUGAGCUGUAAGUGUUACCAAGGUUAGGUCAUGGUAAGAACUAAGAACUUACCGAUAUAGAAAAAAACAGUGAGAGAGAGAUAGUCAACAAGAGUCUCUUUGCAGGAACCUUUUGUUACCUUAGAGAUCAUGGACUUCUCAGCAUCAAUCGAUGCGCUCUUUCCCAAAAGGAGUCUCUUUGCAAGAUCCUUUUUAUAGAAUGCUUCGAACACAUCUUUACCCUUUGAACGGAAAAAUAGAAAUCCGUCAGCGAAACUGAAUCUAGUGGGUCAAAUAGCUGGUUUUUAGACGGUGCACUGCCUGAAUGCAGUUAUUUAACAGAGACAAACCUGGAUAAAUCUGAACAAAACCAAGACUUUUUCAAGGGUGCUCUCCAAUUCUUCUUCAGAAGUACCCUUAUUCCCAGCACGGAGCUUCUCGUCCAAAAAUUUGGCGAUAAGUUCAGCUGGACGAUUCUGCAAAAGAUAUCACGAGCAUAUAUUAUAUGAAGCACUUACUAACAAUGCGAACUUGAAACUUCUAUAGAUUUAAUACGAUGAAUCACUAAUGAGCAGAAUGCUAUUAUACUCAUGAAUCACACUGUGUUUUUUUGGUCUAUAUGCAGUUUGGUUUGCUCGUGCUUUAAAUUUUUUUAAAAAGCUUAAAUACAACCUAUAACUUAAUUGUGUAGCUGAAACACAAAGACUUCAGACCGUUAUAAACCAGAACAUGCACUUGCAUGUCCCUAUUAUUCACUCAUAUGGUUUUAAAACGAUGGUAAUAUAUUUCUAAUUCUUAAAAUGGUAGGAAAAAACGCUGUAUUCCGGGAGAUAUUUAUGUUCACUUUGCUUCAAGGCAUUAGGGAUUUUGAGGUAGCUGUCUGGAACUCAUCCCUUCCGCAUUUAUUUUUGUACAACUAGUUUCUUAGACCAUUUACAUCCCUAAUAUUGAGAGAAAGAUUUUUGAAACCAAAUUAUAAAAGAAAUAACAAAAUAAAUACUAAUGGGGUUUUUAAAAAAAAAUUAUGAAAUACCAAUAGUCUCCCAAAAUAUUUUUUUUGAAAAGCUAUUGCUUAAAUAUCUCAUAAUUUUAAGAGCCUCAAAUAUUAUUUUGGUUUUGAGAACCUCUUUCUUAUACUAAAGAUGAAGAUGUUCUUAUUCACUCAUUUAUACUAGCAGCGAAGGAAAGGGAAAAAAUUAGGAAGAAAUACAAGCUGAAUAAAAUCGGAAAAGGCAAGAAAGAACCGAAAUCUCGAGUUCUUUUUUUUUUUAGAUUGAAGAAAUAUACAGAGUAAGAAAUAAAAUAAAAUAAAAUAAAAUGUUGAAAAGACGUUUAGCAGAGAGGUGAGAUUACUAAGCAAGAUAAUUAUAUAUCUGAGGGUUGCUCUUGUCCCUCUCCAAGUACUCUCGAUCGAUCAGGCUUUCGAUCCUCUUCUUCAGAUCAGCCGGUUUUAUUGGGAAUUUCAGC